AACGCGAAGAACCUUACCAGGUCUCGACAUCCCUUGCAUAACCUAGAGAUAGGCGAAGCCCUUCGGGGCAAGGAGACAGGUGGUGCAUGGUUGUCGUCAGCUCGUGUCGUGAGAUGUUGGGUUAAGUCCCGCAACGAGCGCAACCCUUGUAUUUAGUUGCUACGCAAGAGCACUCUAGAUAGACUGCCGUCGACAAAACGGAGGAAGGUGGGGAUGACGUCAAAUCAUCAUGCCCUUUAUGACCUGGGCUACACACGUACUACAAUGGCGAGUAAACAGAGGGAAGCAACACGGCGACGUGAAGCGAACCCCAAAAAAUCGUCUCAGUUCGGAUUGCAGGCUGCAACCCGCCUGCAUGAAGUCGGAACUGCUAGUAAUCGCGGAUCGGCAUGCCGCGGUGAAUACGUUCCCGGGUCUUGUACACACCG
rnacentral:rRNA from 1 species